rnacentral:rRNA from 1 species
UACGUAGGGUGCAAGCGUUGUCCGGAAUUAUUGGGCGUAAAGAGCUCGUAGGCGGUUUGUCGCGUCGGCUGUGAAAACUCGGGGCUCAACCCCGAGCCUGCAGUCGAUACGGGCAGACUAGAGUGCGGUAGGGGAGACUGGAAUUCCUGGUGUAGCGGUGAAAUGCGCAGACAUCAGGAGGAACACCGGUGGCGAAGGCGGGUCUCUGGGCCGUAACUGACGCUGAGGAGCGAAAGCAUGGGGAGCGAACAGG